AUGAAUAUUUUUAAUGUUUUGUCAAAACUGGUACAGGAAAGAGGAAUCCGACUGUUUAAUUAAAACAAAGCAUUGCAAUGAUCCCCGUAGAUGCUGAUGCACUAUGAUUUCUGCCUAGUACUCUGCAUGUCAAAUUGAAGAAAUUCAACCAAGCGUAGGUAAAUGACAGGAGUAACUAUGACUCUCUUAAGGUAGCCAUAUGAAUCAUCAUCUAAUUAGUGACACACAUGAAUGGAUUAAUGAGAUUCCCAUUGUCCAUAAUUACUAUCUAGAUAAACCACAACCAAUAGAACAAGAUUGACAGAAUCAACGGGUAAAGAAGACCUUCUUGAGCUUGACUUUCUUUUGAAUUUUUGAAAUGACUUCAGAGGUAUAGAAUAAGUGGGCGUCAUUUUCGGCGAAAGUGAAAUACCACUACUUUUAAGGUUAUUUUACUUGUUCUGUGGGGUGAAGAUGGGGAAUUACCCCUGCUUUUGGCCAUAAGACACCUUUCGGAGGGUUGAUCCAUGUGGAAGACAUUUUCAGGUGGGGAGUUUUGUUAGGGAGACACAUAUGUUAAAAGAUAAAGCACAUUUCCUCGAAGUGUUGCCAUUGAUGGAAAUGGUCGAGAGCACAUUCUUCACGCACUUUAUGGAAAUGAGUUUAGGAAACCAAAGAGUAUCAUUUCUUUUAAGGAUGAAGAAAUUUCCUACAAUCCCUAUGUUUUUAGCCAACACCCCCCUAUAAUGAUCUAUGUUAUGGUUCCUCAUUUUAAAUUGGUGACUUGAAUCCUCAU
rnacentral:ncRNA from 1 species